GAUGAACGCUGGCGGCGUGCUUAACACAUGCAAGUCGAACGAUGAAGCCCAGCUUGCUGGGUGGUUUCGUGGCGAACGGGUGAGUAACACGUGAGUAACCUGCCCUUAACUCUGGGAUAAGCCUGGGAAACUGGGUCUAAUACCGGAUAGGAGCGCCUACCGCAUGGUGGGUGUUGGAAAGAUUUAUCGGUUUUGGAUGGACUCGCGGCCUAUCAGCUUGUUGGUGAGGUAAUGGCUCACCAAGGCGACGACGGGUAGCCGGCCUGGGAGGGUGACCGGCCACACUGGGACUGCGACACGGCCCAGACUCCUACGGUAGGCAGCAGUGGGGAAUAUUGCACAAUGGGCGAAAGCCUGAUGCAGCGGCGCCGCGUGAGGGAUGACGGCCUUCGGGUUGUAAACCUCUUUCAGUAGGGAAGAAGCGAAAGUGACGGUACCUGCAGAAGAAGCACCGGCUAACUACGUG
rnacentral:rRNA from 1 species